AGAGUUUGAUCCUGGCUCAGGAUGAACGCUGGCGGCGUGCUUAACACAUGCAAGUCGAACGGGGUACCCUUGACAGAGGCUUCGGCCAAUUGAUAGGAAUACCUAGUGGCGGACGGGUGAGUAACGCGUGAGGAACCUGCCUUGGAGUGGGGAAUAACAGUUAGAAAUAGCUGCUAAUACCGCAUAAUGCAACUAAGUCGCAUGGCUUUGGUUGCCAAAGAUUUAUCGCUCUAAGAUGGCCUCGCGUCUGAUUAGAUAGUUGGCGGGGUAACGGCCCACCAAGUCGACGAUCAGUAGCCGGACUGAGAGGUUGGCCGGCCACAUUGGGACUGAGACACGGCCCAGACUCCUACGGGAGGCAGCAGUGGGGAAUAUUGGGCAAUGGGCGCAAGCCUGACCCAGCAACGCCGCGUGAAGGAAGAAGGCCCUCGGGUUGUAAACUUCUUUUAUUCGGGACGAAACAAAUGACGGUACCGAAUGAAUAAGCCACGGCUAACUACGU
rnacentral:rRNA from 1 species